rnacentral:rRNA from 1 species
CACCGCGGUUAUACGGGUUAGCCCAAGUUGACAGCCUACGGCGUAAAGCGUGGUUAGGGAUGUAGAAAAACUAAAGCCGAAUUUUCCUUCAACUGUUAUACGCUCGCAGGAACAAGAAGCUCAACUACGAAAGUGACUUUACUACCCCACCCCUGAGCCCACGAAAGUUCUGAUA